AGGGGACCCCCCGAUGGGGAGCUUGCGGCUUAAUUUGACUCAACACGGGAAAACUUACCCGGCCCGGACACUGGGAGGAUUGACAGAUUGAGAGCUCUUUCUUGAUUCAGUGGGGGGGGGUGGAUGGGCGUUCUUAGUUGGGGGAGCGAUUUGUCUGGUUUAUUUCGAAAACGAACGAGACUUUAGCCUAAUAAAUAGACCGCCUAAUUUUUAAAGUCCGCGGGACUUUUUUAAGGGACAGGGGGGGAGUCCCCGCCCGAAAUAAAAGAAUAAUAGGUUUGUGAUGGCCUAUAAUCCGGGGGCGCACGCGCGCCUCACUGAAAAGAAAGCUGUAAUUAGCCCUGGUCCGUUCAGAGUGGGGAAACCAUUGAACCUUUUUGAAGGGAGAGGAGAAAAGGACUUAUUCCCCCCCGAACGAUGAAAAAUUCCUAAGGGCCAGUCAUAAGCUCGCGCUGAUUUUAUUUCGCUCCUUUAUAUACCCCCCCCCUCGCUCUCUAUCAUUGAUGAUCUACCGAGGUG
rnacentral:rRNA from 1 species